CUUCUGAUUGACAUGACGCUGCCUUGCGGAGAUAAAUUACGGGGAAUUCCCAGCAAACCACAAUAAGGGAAUUAGUUUUGGAGGUAUAAAUACAUAAUGAAGUUUGGGCAACAGAAUCACAAUACGAGAGGUUAAGUACACGGCGAAGAGAUUUGGGGUAACGUAGCUUGUGGAAGAAUAGUGAAAAUAUUCAAUAACACUGGAAAUGAAUGAUAUGAACAAAUAAGAAAAACAUCACAUUCAGCAAAAUUGUCAUCAAAUACAGGAUUGAUGACCAGUGAAUUAGACUACUGGAUGUUAUAAGCAUUGAGUAUUCACUCUGGAUUGAAGCACAACAUGAGACUUAUCACUAUCGAGAAGGUUCGUAUCGUCAGCGAAUAAUUUGGAAAAUAGAGUGGAGCUAUGUGCAAGAUCAUUAAUAUAAAUUAAGAACAGAGCCGGACCCAAGGACGAACCCUGGGGAACCCCAUGGGUCACAGAUUUGAAGAUUGGAAUUACUCUGGCAAUUUUCAGUGAAGAUGGAAAUAUCCCCAA